rnacentral:rRNA from 1 species
UACGGGGGGGGGCUAGCGUUGUUUCGGAAUUACUGGGCGUAAAGGGCGCGUAGGCGGCCUUCUAAGUCAGACGUGAAAUCCCCAGGCUUAACUUGGGAACUGCGUCUGAUACUGGAUGGCUUGAGUGCGGGAGAGGGAUGUGGAAUUCCAGGUGUAGCGGUGAAAUGCGUAGAUAUCUGGAGGAACACCGGUGGCGAAGGCGGCAUCCUGGACCGACACUGACGCUGAUGCGCGAAAGCCAGGGGAGCAAAGCGGG